rnacentral:rRNA from 1 species
GACAGAGGGGGCAAGCGUUGCUCGGAAUCACUGGGCGUAAAGGGCGCGUAGGCGGGAUGACAAGUCGGUCGUGAAAUCUCUCGGCUCAACCGAGAAACGUCGGCCGAUACUGCCGUUCUUGAGGGAUGCAGAGGAGACUGGAAUUCCCGGUGUAGCGGUGAAAUGUGUAGAGAUCGGGAGGAACACCGGUGGCGAAGGCGGGUCUCUGGGCAUUUCCUGACGCUGAGGCGCGAAAGCGUGGGUAGCAAACAGG